CCCUGGGCUUGUGCGCCGCCUCCAAGACGCUGCUCAUAUUUGGAGUCAUCGCUUUGGACUCUAUUGUCUCUGGACAUAGAAGUCAACCGUGAACGUGUCUCCACUGGAAGUAACAUCAAGGGCCAGAAUCCUCACAGGGAAGACGGACAAAAGAGAGAUUAUUGGUCUGCAAGCUGCCCACGCUAAGCCACAAGAUGCUCAACCGUCACCAUAAUGACAACAAGUCCUCUUGAACUACGUGCCUCACUAUGAAAUGUUUGGAAGUUUACCAGAUAGAGAGGUGUGAGCCCUAUUAGGAAAACAGCAGUCUACAGUUCUGUAUCAUACUGAGCGGGAAUGAGAAAUUUGACAUACAAGCUUAGUUGCUUUUAAGGGCGCUUUAUGACAAUCGGAGAAGUAACAUGUUGAGUCCCAACUUGUUUCUUUUGCAGUCAUUAUAGCCAUGACGACCAGAACAGAAACAAUGUAGCAAGCUCCUACUUGCUAAUGCACAAACUCUGUCAUGUGCUCUUUGCAAAUCAAUUUGACGGGCAUUAGUACCACAAAGUAUCACAUGCUCCCUCACAACGAUAAUUUGAUACAUGAAAAUGCAAAGAAUUUUAAAAUGAUCAAAAGCACUUAAUGCAAUUUUAAGGAAAUGACACUUCAUGUUGACUGAAACUCUGGCAGUCACUCUUCAUUUUAUUUUUUGCUUAAAGUACCCUCAGGGGCACAGGCAUUAAAGAGGGGAGUGGUUACAAAGUAGUAGAGUAAAACAAACAAGUGUAGUGAGUUCUUGUAACAUAAUGAUUCUCCUGAUUAUACAAUGUUUGCUAAUGUUUUGCAAAAAAUGUUUGUUAUCUGUGAUGGCUACGAUACUUGGUGGUUCCAUUUCUGAGAUGUACGGGGCAUGAAAGAAAGACUUCGUGUUACAUGAAUCAAUUCCUACCUUACUGUGAUGAUUGACUCAGUUUGAAAUGCACUGAGGCCGCAGUAUGAAGUCAUGAAGUGUGGUGUGACAGAAAAUUUUAUGAAAUAGCGAAAGAUGGCCGACUUUCCGGCGAUUAGCUAGUGGAAUGAGUGCUAGGCCAGUUUACAUUGAAGUUAUACUUGCGGUACGGUUAUAAUUAGAAAUAAUGAAACGGAGUAGAGUUACUGUGUACUAGUUCAAGUGAAGUAAUAAGAUUAACGCGACUGGCAUCCCAUAUUGCAGAUGCAUAUUCAAGUUUCCAGCGAAUUAGUCUUGUAAAGCUGUAGUUCUAAAGUAGACAGUGCUUUGGAAAAGUUGCGCCAUAAGUACCCGAGCAUGUGAUUAGCACUGCUAAUGACGUACUCUAUAUUAUAGGUCCAAUUUAAGUUAUUUGUAAUGUGUACACUGAGAUAUUUAUAUGACAUGACAAAAUCUAAGGGAACGUUAGCAUGGCAAGCGCUAGGAUUAGAAUUAGAUCUGGAAAUGCGCAUGAUUUUACAUUUGUUUACUACAAAAGGCUCAUAUACAGUUUGCAUGAAAUCAAUAACUAGGCUAGUACUGCACCAUAAGAGAUAGCUAGAAAAGGCAAGCUCAAACAACUGGCCAGCCUAUUUCACACUUCACAAACUUGAGAAAUCACUAAAAGCAAAUUUUCUUUCUCUUCAAACAGCAGAUGACAAAACCUGCGCACAGUGUGCUCCCAAAAAUAUUUUGAAAUUUACUCGCAGAAUAAGUUCAGCUUAACAUUCAGCUAAUCAACUGUGAACGAGCAAGGGAAACCUCAGCGUGGGAACUUGUCUUCGUCUCGGCCCUCACAAAUAUGUUUGCUUGGUGAAACGCUGGCUCCAAGCUGAGGCUUCCCUUGCUCACCUGUUACUCAACUGAAGUGUUCAUCUCCUUGCAACCUCUUUGCUGUGUUUGAAUACAUAUACCGAGAUUCUUUUUCAACAUGAAACCACAAACUCCAUUUUCCAAGGAUGUGUGAGCAUUAAUUGGGCUCGCUUAUAUGUUGAUUUAGUGUCCUUGUUUAUUCACACAAUAUUUCCAGAAGUCCUU